GGUUGUGAGGGCGAUCUGGCUGCGACAUCUGUCACCCCAUUGAUCGCCAGGGUUGAUUCGGCUGAUCUGGCUGGCUAGGCAGGUGUCCCCCUCCUCCCUCAAAGCUCCAUGUGCGUCCCUCCCGAAGCUGCAUGCUCGGUCGAAGAGGACGACCACGCCUGAUAGAGGAGGACCGUUCCUUGGUCAAGAGUAUAGGAGUAGCUGCACUCCCUUGCUAGAACCUCCAAACAAGCUCUCAAGAUGUUAAUUAUUCUUUUGUGAUGAAUUCUUUCAGAAUCUUUUCUUCCUGAGUUUUGAAAUGUAGCCCAUU
rnacentral:snRNA from 1 species